CCUACGGGGGGCAGCAGUAGGGAAUCUUCCACAAUGGGCGAAAGCCUGAUGGAGCAACGCCGCGUGGGUGAAGAAGGUCUUCGGAUCGUAAAACCCUGUUGUUAGAGAAGAAAGUGCGUGAGAGUAACUGUUCACGUUUCGACGGUAUCUGACCAGAAAGCCACGGCUAACUACGUGCCAGCAGCCGCGGUAAUACGUAGGUGGCAAGCGUUAUCCGGAUUUAUUGGGCGUAAAGGGAACGCAGGCGGUCUGUUAAGUCUGAUGUGAAAGCCCUGGGCUUAACCGGAGAAGUGCAUGGGAUACUGGGAGACUUGAGUGCAGUAGAGGAGAGUGGAACUCCAGGUGUAGCGGUGAAAUGCGUAGAUAUAUGGAAGAACACCAGUGGCGAAGGCGGCCCUCUGGUCGGUGACUGACGCUGAGGUUCGAAAGCGUGGGUAGCAAACAGGAUUAGAUACCCUAGUAGUC
rnacentral:rRNA from 1 species